ensembl:snRNA U6 U6 spliceosomal RNA
GUGCUCACUUCAGCAGCACAUAUACUAAAAUUAGAACUACACAGAGAAGAUUAGUAUGGCCCCUAUGCAAGGAUGACACGCAAGUUUGUGAAGCGUUCUAUAUUUUA